CAAUAGCGUAUAUUAAAGUUGUUGCAGUUAAAAAGCUCGUAGUUGGAUUUCUGGUGGGAGCGAUCGGUCUGGCGCUUAGCGCGAGUACUUGCAUCGUCUCCGGCCAUCCUUGGGGAGAGUCUGUCUGGCAUUAAGUUGUCGGGCAGAGGAUCCUCAUCGUUUACUGUGAAAAAAUUAGAGUGUUCAAAGCAGGCUUAUGCCGUUGAAUAUAUUAGCAUGGAAUAAUAAGAUAGGACUUUGGUACUAUUCUGUUGGUUUGCGCACCAAAGUAAUGAUUAAUAGGGACAGUUGGGGGUAUUCGUAUUCCGUUGUCAGAGGUGAAAUUCUUGGAUUUACGGAAGACGAACUACUGCGAAAGCAUUUACCAAGGAUGUUUUCAUUAA
rnacentral:rRNA from 1 species